rnacentral:other from 1 species
AGUUAUCGGCGUAGGGUACAGAGGUAAGAUGUUCUAUCUUUCAGACCUUUUGUUUCACGUUAUUGGAUUUGGCUGAUUCAGCCGCCCUGAUCAUUUUGGUCAGGGCGUUUUUAU